rnacentral:rRNA from 1 species
GACGAACGCUGGCGGCGUGCUUAACACAUGCAAGUCGAACGGAAAGGCCUCUUUCGGGGGGUACUCGAGUGGCGAACGGGUGAGUAACACGUGAGUAACCUGCCCUUGACUUUGGGAUAACUUCAGGAAACUGGGGCUAAUACCGGAUAGGAGCUCCUGCUGCAUGGUGGGGGUUGGAAAGUUUCGGCGGUUGGGGAUGGACUCGCGGCUUAUCUGCUUGUUGGUGGGGUAGUGGCUUACCAAGGCUUUGACGGGUAGCCGGCCUGAGAGGGUGACCGGCCACAUUGGGACUGAGAUACGGCCCAGACUCCUACGGGAGGCAGCAGUGGGGAAUAUUGCACAAUGGGUGGAAGCCUGAUGCAGCAACGCCGUGUGCGGGAUGACGGCCUUCGGGUUGUAAACCGCUUUCGCUCAUGACGAAGCUUUGUGUGACGGUAGUGGGUAAAGAAGCACCGGCUAACUACGUG